UUGUAUUGAAACAAUGAAAAGUUUGAAUAUUGUGUGUAAAUGCGGCCAGAAGGAAUAACAACAUAAAACUGUGUUUCCUCUAUUUAUUUCAAUUCAGGUACAGGACCCAGUCAGAUGCAGAUCUGGAACCUGUAACACUUACAAACAGUGUAUGAAACAGAAGAUUUUAAAAAUGCUGAAAAUGCAUUAAGUAUGCUUGAACUGAUGAUAUAUAACAACUUGGACAGAACAUUUCCGGAGAUUACAAAACACUGAAGAUAGUUAUUACCACUCUGAUGACUACAGCAGAGGCAGAGAGGUGUUUCUCAAAAACCUUUUUGAGAAACAGUAUGAAAACCGAACGAUUAAAUGCUUUAGCCAUGUGUGACAGAAAUAUAAUGAAUCUUGGUUCAUUGGUAGAGUUCUUUGGACGGGCUGGCCUGACAGUUCUUUCUCAGGGCCGGGAAGUCGUUCAGUCUGGAAGAAGGCGAGACUGUUGCAGGAACGUAUUGACCCGGAGGGGAAACGACGUAGCAGCUGCAGAUUGUAGAGACAGCUACACUCGUUUACCAAGGUGUCAUGUGUGAAAGCAUAAAAGGGGAAGGAGAAUCGCAGUCUAUUCCUUCGCUUGGUUUUGAGACAGAAACUGGAGGGACCGGGAGAGACCCAGCGAAUCAUAAGCGACCCGACAGAACAACUCAGCGGAACCGCAGACAUAAUGCAGGACCUAAAAAUCAAAGACUGAAGACCCUGUCAGCUUACCGUGAGGCCUAGCAAAACACACCUUGUGAGGUGUAGCACAUAUAUGAUGUGAAUGGGCACACACAACAGUUCCUGUCAAACGCAGUCUGGAAAAAUAUGGUAUUCUGAUUUGUUUCCAGUAUGUUUUGUGGACCUCUAAUUAGAGAAUAUGACUGGACGUUAAUUCACCAGAUGUGCUUCGAUGGUAGACAUGAUUCUGAGAACUUUUCAGGCUACAGUAAGUUUUAAAAAGUCACCAGGAUGUGACUGAAACAGAAAUUGAUACAAAGUGGAUGUAAACAACAACAAUACAUUAGUUACAAAUACAUACCUCUGGUGUUUCAAGUUGCUCUUCAAAACUGAAAUUAAAUUUGGAAGUGUGGCACAAUUUAACAUAGCACUGGUGGCUACAAGAUGUCCCUCACAUUAUAAAGUAAAUGAAAUGACAAAACCUGAUCAAAAUCUCCUUUACCUUGCUCAGUCUAAAAUCUUUCUUUAUCGUAAGUUC